GACGAACCGUACGAACGUUAUUCGGAAUCACUGGGCUUAAAGGGUGCGUAGGCUGCGCAGCAAGUUGGGUGUGAAAUCCCUCGGCUUAACCGAGGAACUGCGCCCAAAACUGCUGUGCUCGAGGGAGAUAGAGGUGAGCGGAACUUAGGGUGGAGCGGUGAAAUGCGUUGAUAUCCUAAGGAACACCGGUGGCGAAAGCGGCUCACUGGAUCUCUUCUGACGCUGAGGCACGAAAGCUGGGGUAGCGAACGGG
rnacentral:rRNA from 1 species